rnacentral:rRNA from 1 species
CAAGGUGAAACCUAAUUGGCCUGGAGAAGAGCUUGCGUCUGAUUAGCUAGUUGGUGGGGUAAGAGCCUACCAAGGCGACGAUCAGUAGCUGGUCUGAGAGGAUGAGCAGCCACACUGGGACUGAGACACGGCCCAGACUCCUACGGGAGGCAGCAGUGGGGAAUUUUCCGCAAUGGGCGAAAGCCUGACGGAGCCACGCCGCGUGAGGGAGGAAGGUCUUUGGAUUGUAAACCUCUUUUCUCAAGGAAGAAGUUCUGACGGUACUUGAGGAAUCAGCCUCGGCUAACUCCGUGCCAGCAGCCGCGGUAAUACGGGGGAGGCAAGCGUUAUCCGGAAUUAUUGGGCGUAAAGCGUCCGCAGGUGGUCAGCCAAGUCUGCU